AAUCAUGGUGAGCUAGGCGAGGCAGCCUAAGGCUGGCCGUCCCGGAAGUGCGGUAGUUCCAACCUUACCUAGCUUACCACCCGA
rnacentral:antisense_RNA from 1 species